rnacentral:rRNA from 1 species
GUGAGGAAUUUUCCGCAAUGGGCGAAAGCCUGACGGAGCAAUGCCGCGUGAAGGAUGAAGGCCUAUGGGUUGUAAACUUCUUUUCUCAGAAAAGAAUUAUGACGAUAUCUGAGGAAUAAGCAUCGGCUAACUCUGUGCCAGCAGCCGCGGUAAGACAGAGGAUGCAAGCGUUAUCCGGAAUGAUUGGGCGUAAAGCGUCUGUAGGUUGUUUAAAAAGUAUUCUGUCAAAGAUUAGGGCUUAACCCUAGAUAGGCAGAAUAAACUUUUAAGCUAGAGUUUGGUAGAGGCAGAGGGAAUUCCCGGUGGAGCGGUGAAAUGCGUAGAUAUCGGGAGGAACACCAAAGGCGAAGGCACUCUGCUGGGCCAAUACUAACACUGAGAGACGAAAGCGAGGGGAGCAAAUGGGAUUAGAUACCCUUGUAGUCC